rnacentral:rRNA from 1 species
AUUGAACGCUGGUGGCAUGCUUAACACAUGCAAGUUGAACGGCAGCAUGAUCUAGCUUGCUAGAUUGAUGGCGAGUAGCGGACGGGUGAGUAACGCGUAGGAAUCUACCUCUAAGUGGGGGACAACUUGUGGAAACGCAAGCUAAUACCGCAUAAUACCUUAGGGUUAAAGCUGGCUUUUGCUGGCGCUUAGAGAUGAGCCUGCGUCCGAUUAGUUUGUUGGUGGGGUAAAGGCCUACCAAGACUACGAUCGGUAGCUGUUCUGAGAGGAAGAUCAGCCACACUGGGACUGAGACACGGCCCAGACUCCUACGGGAGGCAGCAGUGGGGAAUAUUGGACAAUGGGCGCAAGCCUGAUCCAGCAAUGCCACGUGUGUGAAGAAGGCCCUAGGGUUGUAAAGCACUUUCAUUAGCGAGGAAGGUAUUUAGGUUAAGAGCUAAGAUACUUGACGUUAACUAAAGAAGAAGCACCGGCUAACUCUG